UACGUAGGGGGCAAGCGUUGUCCGGAUUUAUUGGGCGUAAAGAGCGUGUAGGCGGUCAGGUAGGUCCGUUGUGAAAACUCGAGGCUCAACCUCGAGACGCCGAUGGAAACCACCUGACUAGAGUCCGGAAGAGGAGAGUGGAAUUCCUGGUGUAGCGGUGAAAUGCGCAGAUAUCAGGAAGAACACCCGUGGCUAAGGCGGCUCUCUAGUACGGUACUGACGCUGAGACGCGAAAGCGUGGGGAGCGAACAGG
rnacentral:rRNA from 1 species